ensembl:lncRNA
AGAAAACAGAGUCAAACGGAGUACAGCUAAACUCAGCAGAUAAUUUAGAGACUGUCGUCACGUCAAGAAACGAAAAACACAAGUAGACGUGUAAGAGGAGCCUGACUAGUUUUUGUACAGUCUUUUGGGGUUUAAAGUGCAUUUAAACAGGCUUAAAGUGUCAUCUGACCCAAAAAACCUGAGGGAAACUAUGAUAAUUAUAAUUGUCCUACGUAGCUCACACAGACAGUGGGAUUAUAUAUCAGUCUGCGGACUUUUUGAUGAAUUUUAAUUAGUUGUUUCAUUGUCUCACAACUAAACAAUGAAUCAUCUACAAAUCCACAACUGUACACCAGCUGGCAUUUCUUUGAAUUUCUUUUAUUUAUAAUUCUGGGAAACAAGAUGUUGUGAAUGCUUUGCUGCUGAUCUAAUUCAGUCUGCAAAACACUGUCUGAGUGCUGUUCUGUGAAUCAGAGUGAAACUAUGGUGUGCCUGACUGGGGGAGUGUUAGCACAGGAUGUAUAUUUCUUGGAAACAUCAAGUUGAGCAUACAGUAGGAGUCAUUUGCACCUCCAAAUUGUUUGAUUUUUGUUUUUAUUUUUUUUAACUUAGUUGGUUGCUCAAGUCUCCAAAUGUUGUACAUAUCUGGAGGUGUGACAUUCUCCUUUCUACUUUAUAAACAGUAGGGGAUUUUUUCUUCUUCUUGUAUUUUAUUUUUCACAAGAAGGAGGUAGACUUGUUAAUUUACAUUAAAGUGUUCUGCCUCUAACCAUUUCUAGAGCCCACAGCAAUGCUAUGACAUGCCAUUUCGUGUCUUCACCUUUUCAGCACAGUUAUUAAGUGACAAAGGAACUAACCGGCAUAUCAUUACCACAUAAUGAGGUUAAUAUGAUAAAGUCAUGCAUUUAACAACAUCCCCACAGACAGCUCUGUCUUUGUUGUACCUGUUAUUGAAAUACAAUCUCAUAAUUACAUAAUUGUGCAUUCCAAUGAGUAUUUUUCAUUUAUUUGUAGUCUGGAGAAAAGUUUUAAAGCGGCUACAAAAUUAAAAGAAAGAGAAAAUAACUAGAGGUCAUGCAGAGCUAAGCCCAAAAAUGUUAAUCUACAGAGACUGAAGCUUUAGAUAUAUUGCACAUAUGCUUGAGUGUCCUAAAG